rnacentral:rRNA from 1 species
UACGUAGGGGGCUAGCGUUGUCCGGAUUUAUUGGGCGUAAAGAGCGUGUAGGCGGCCAGACAGGUCCGUUGUGAAAACUCGAGGCUCAACCUCGAGACGCCGAUGGAAACCGUCUGGCUGGAGUCCGGAAGAGGAGAGUGGAAUUCCUGGUGUAGCGGUGAAAUGCGCAGAUAUCAGGAAGAACACCCGUGGCUAAGGCGGCUCUCUAGUACGGUACUGACGCUGAGACGCGAAAGCGUGGGGAGCGAACAGG